GAUCUGGACUGCUGCAAACAAGCAUGGCUAAAAACCUACAGAUUUUCUAAAGCUAAAUGCAGAGCGUGGGCAUUUGCCAUCUUGCCUACGUGAUUGACAAGAGAACUGAUACUUUGGAGGCUGGAAAUGUGAGAUUGCCGCUGUUGUCAGCCUCAAAUCACGACCACUGGUCAUGCUGUUGAGUGUUCCUGUGGCCCAGUGGCUGACUCUUCAUCACAGAUAGACAGCUGUCAUCACCCUCUUCCAAGACUCAGGGAUCAUGGAAGAAGAGGGACUGGAAAGAAUGGACCUUACUCACAGGAAGACUGCCCCGCCAACAGGUUCGGAGCUGACAAUGGGA